AUGGUCUGGACUCCUCUCCUUCUCAUGCUCCCCUCUCAUUGCACAGGUUCCCACUCCCAGCCUGUGCUGACUCAACCACCCUCCCUCUCCGCCUCUCCUGGAGCAUCUGCCAGAUUCACCUGCACCCUGAGCAGUGAUUUCAGUGUUGGUGACUACUGGAUAAAAUGGUACCAGCAGAAUCCUGAGAGCCCGCCUUGGUUUCUCCUGAACUACUACUCAGAGUCAAAUAAGCAGCAAGGAUCCAGACUCCCCAGUCACUUCUCUGGAUCCAAGGACACCUUGGCCAGUGCAGGUGUUCUACACAUCGCUGGGCUGCAGCCUGUGGACGAGGCUGACUAUUUCUGUGCUAUAGCACAUAGUAAUGUUUAUCACAGUGACACAGGCUGUGGGGGAAGUGGAACAAAAUCUUCACAGACCACAG